AGCUGCUUUAUCAUCCUAAAUUCAGGGGAAGAGAACAAUUACUGACAUUAUCUCCUCACCCCUAACGAGCAUUGGCAGUGCGAGGAUGCAGGGGGAGUGAGAACAGAAGACAUUGAUCCAAUAUCCCUAGAAGAGAAGGAAUACAGAGCAUUAGCUGCUCUUGCUUCCCUGCAGCCUUCAGGAAAAAUAUCAUCUAGGCUCUUGAGUGGAUCCUUUUCCUGGAAAACAGAGUGAAACAGAAUCUCAAUUUUCACUGAGAAAUAUUCAACAGUAAAAAAACCCAAAAAAACCCACCAAAAAAAACCCCAAACCAACCAACCAACCAACCAACCAAACAACAAACAAAAAAAAAAACCACCAAAAAAAGUCUGCAAUGCCCAACAUCUACAGCCAUACCUAUUCAAGAGUGAAUGUAUUGAGGAUCUAUCAAGUUUUAGCAUGGCCUGUGUAUUGCUCAUCCUUUAAAAAUGUAUUUCUGCUCUGGAACCAAUUCUGGCUCAUAUUCCCAGCAGAGAAAAACAGCAUUCCAGAAUCCAGCUAAGGCAGCAACUGCUCAGCAAAGGGAUGCCAAAGGGGGUUUGGACGGCCUAAAGUGUAAAAAGCAGGAAAUUAAUAAUUAAUAAUCUGUGGUCCCUGUGCACCAGGGGGUACCAGGAGGAGCAGGCCUGAGAGGUUAUUAGAAAGAUGCAGAAGAGACUGAUGGACUGGAAAAAGAGUCUCCUGUAGGAACCAGUGUAUAAUUCUUCCUUGUGAGGUGAUACUUCUAAUUGAAUAUCUCCUUCCAACUCCCCGGCAUGAGUGUAGCUUCUGGGCCUCAAUAUCAUCUCACAUCCAAAGACUGGGGGCAAUCUCAGAGGUGCUGAUGAGAUGUGCUCUCUACUCAGCCCUUCCAUACGGACUUGGUGCUGAUUCCUCCCUCUUGGACAGAGGGAAUUAAGGCUUUGCUGCUUUGCUGGGCAACUCUGGCACCUACCAGAAGGUGCUGAUGGUGCACACAAUCCAUGCACUAGUGAGUGUCUUGCCUUGGAGAAGCAAGUACUGCAUCUAGGUGAGCCUAGAAAGCUGCAAUUCUUUAAAACAUUGCAUUUGCCAUUGCUCUAUUAAUUGCUAUCCUAUGGGCAUUUUUGGAAGAUGCUCAUUGACCCUCUGGCAGGUUUAAUUUUUAGGA